rnacentral:rRNA from 1 species
UACGAAGGGGGCUAGCGUUGUUCGGAAUUACUGGGCGUAAAGCGCACGUAGGCGGAUUUGUUAGUCAGGGGUGAAAUCCCGGGGCUCAACCUCGGAACUGCCUUUGAUACUGCAAGUCUAGAGUCCGGAAGAGGUGAGUGGAAUUCCUAGUGUAGAGGUGAAAUUCGUAGAUAUUAGGAAGAACACCAGUGGCGAAGGCGGCUCACUGGUCCGGUACUGACGCUGAGGUGCGAAAGCUAGGGGAGCGAACAGG